rnacentral:misc_RNA from 1 species
AGCCACCCUGUUUUACGUCGCGGUGAUCGCUCGCCGCCCACCACACCUACACCCGUCUCUCACACACCCCCUCCUCUCUCACAGCGCGUUCGUUAUCCUCUUUCGAAGGCAUCGAUGCUGAAGAGCUCCAUCGUGUUGCUGCGCCGCGGUAAGCCGCGCCCGCGCGCCGGCAUGUUCCCGGAGAAGUAUCGCCGUGUGCCGGCGCUGCUGAAGCCGCAGCAGGGUGGCCAGCAGUACUUCAACGAGUUUCUGAUCCGCUCUGCCAACGACGCGCUAGAGGCACAGCAGCAAGGGUACGGCUCGGCCUUCCGCGCCGGCGGCUCUGGUGCAGCUCGUACCCUUGCCGAUGCCAAUGCAACCGCAGCGGGCGGUAGCAAUGGUGGCGAGAUCAGCAGCGUGCAUCCUCGCCUACCGCAGGCGGACAUUGAUGGAGUGCUGCAGCGCAGCCGUGCCGAAACGAUCCAGGAGGAGCUGAAGCAGCUGGUAGCUCAAGACGGCUUCGUAUCACAGCGCGGCUUCAACGAGCGCAUGUGGUACGAGCAGGAACAUCACCGCCUGCGCACGCAUGGCGAUGGCGUGGAAGCAAGCCCGAGCGAAGCGGCUGCGACGACAGCGGCAUCCUCGUCGACUGCGGAGGCGGGAUCAGCGACGGGAGAGGGGCGCGUGCUGCCGGAGCGCAUCCUCGGCGAUGACUACUUUCAGAGUAAGUUCGGUUACUCGCUGCUGAAGGGGCGGUCGCCGGAUGCGUCUGCAGCGGCAGACAUCGUUAAGGCCUACGCCCAACUCGAUUUGUGGGGCGAGAUGCCCACGUACAGCCGGGACUUUGUGUUUCUAUACCUGGUGUCGCGCCGCCGCAACACGUACGCCGUCGCGUACGACUACGAUGGCAAGCGGCUGCUGCCGACGUACACGGCAGGUAACCGCGGGCUGAAGGGUGGCGAUCGCGGCUUCCGCGGAGACGGCUCGACGGACAAUGGCCACCAAGUGACGAGCAUGUACCUGAACGAUCUACUGCCAAAGAUUCGCGAGGCGCGGGCGGCGAGCGGGCGACCUCUGGGCCGUGGGGAGAAGAUUGAUCUUGUCGUUCGCGUGAUGGGCUUCUACAAUGGUCGGCAGGGCGCCGUGCGGGCGGUGCAGGAUCGCAGCGCUGACUUCCGCGUUCGCUACUUGGAGGAUGUGACGCCGUUCCCGCUGAACGGGCCAAAGAUGCCGCGUGGUGUCUUCCGUUAAAAGCCCUGUCUGUGAUGCGCACGGGUCACACAAGCUGUGUGCUUGCGUGCGCGCGUCAGCUGCUCUGCCACGGAUUCUGAUGCUCGUUUUUUUUUUGCUGUUGAUGCCGAGAUGCACGUGUAGACUCCCGAGGCCGUGUGCACCUCGCUGUGCGUAGGUGCGUGCCAGUGCACGGUGCUCGUUGUCAACGCAGAGCUGCCGCGCAUCCUGGCCUCUCCAAGGACGUACCUCCCUCCCCUCCUCUCCUCCCUUCCGUGUGCUCGAUAGAACGGCGUAGAGAGCGGGAAGGCGCGUGGCGGAGCAAGGCGGGCGAGCCAUAAUGUUGCCGUGGCGAGGGGAAAGGAUGCUGGCCACUGCGCUUUAACGCGAUGAGGAUUACGCUCGCAAGAGCCAGUAACGG